UAGACUCUUGAGCUGAUGGAAGGCAGAAAUCUUUUUGAUCCCAUUGAUCACAUUCAUAACCGGUAUGUCCUUCCGCUGGCAUUGGCAUAGUGUAUUGCAUAUCUUGGGCCUCCACCCCUUACACUGAUCCAACGGAGCCCCAUCUUUUUGACCUAUUUUGACAAAUAUGGCAAAUUUAAAUUCGAAACAGAAAUCCCCAAGGCUUCUCUUGAGGAUUUUGUCACCUUGACUUGGGAUGCGGAAGCUAGACCAACCUCCUCAAAAAUUAUUUUAGAUGACUUGCUAAUGAUGCUAUAUGAGACAAUGGUGUAGGUUGUGCUUCAAGCUUACCCACCCAUGCGCAAACCUCUGAGAAUCAAUAUAGAGAAGUGCACAAGCGGAUUAAGAGAGCGCAUUGAAAAAUAUGUCGGACAAAUAGCUAACUGAGACAGGGAUAAAGGCAGUAAACAUACAAAAGAGAGGGGAAAAGAGGGGAAAAAAGCAAAGCCAUCUCUGUGCCUAAUCCGUGCGCCGCCUCCGCUUUCCCAGAUUCCAAAUAAAAACUAUAAAACAAGAGUAUUGUGACAAAAGAAUCUUUCUCUCCUAGUAAAUGACAGCGUGUUUACUUGCCUGUCGAUUGACUCGCAUGUUCCCUCUAUAUAGGCAGGCGAAGAUUAUGAAUGAUGCUUCCACAUCUCAGGCAUGUCGUGUAUGAGUAUAGGCCAGGUAUGACAGGCCGAUAUCGAUGUGAAUGAGAUCACUUGUGAAGAAUCAGUCUUUCACAAUUGGUUCUGGAAUUUCUUGUGUUUCUUCCGUGCCCGCCCAUCCAUGGUGGGUGACAGAUGGCAGAAGACAUCAGACACUAACAGUCCAAAACUGCAAAAUGCAACCGUUUCGAUUCAUCCACUCCCGUCAUCAAACAAUCUAAUCAGCAAAGCAUAUCCCAGCACCACUACCAACCCAACCCACAUUUUAUGUCGUCGAAUCCAGCUCUGACCCACGUCCCGUGCAGCCUGACCGCCUUCCAUCACCGCCCCAAGCCCCGCCGCACUGCCCGCAUGUCGUCUGCGUAAUGCGCUCGCUUCCGGCGAACACGUUGUUCCCCCACUCCCGCCAUUCGCGGAAGAGCCACUGCUGCUACUAGGAUCCGGCAAAAAUUGUCCCGUAGCCGGAUCCACCCGAUUCUCCCUCAUCCACUUCCAAUUCUCCUGGUCCAGCUCCGCCCACUCGGUACGGAAUUUCAGACCCCCAUCGCCAGCUUUCACAUUCCCAAUGCUCCUCGUCGACGGCGACACGCCUGCAACUGCUUUAGCAUGUGACCCGCCGCCUGUCGAGUUCCACCACCUCGAGCGCGCAGCGAGGAUCUUGCGUUCAGACUCAGAGGCA
rnacentral:sRNA from 1 species